AAAAUACACGGAAAAUAAUGCAUAGAAAAUACAAAUUUGACCAGAUCUGAAUUAAUGAGUCAAAGACUCAGUCUUCCAUGCAGAUUGGUCAAAGAUGGCCCUUCAGAUAAAGUCCAGGUUCAUCCGAACUAGAUGGAUGCACGGGGUAAAGAAAAGGACGCUUACUGGACUGUCCGGAUGGUCCGCCGGAUAAGAAUGCAUGUUCGUCUUCGGUUUCUUCACGACCCAAGCUAAGUCUGGCUCGACCGUGGGUCUUAGAAUGUCGAGUUGGUCGGGGAAGACGGGCUGUGGUUCG
rnacentral:lncRNA from 1 species